UACGGAGGAUCCGAGCGUUAUCCGGAUUUAUUGGGUUUAAAGGGUGCGUAGGCGGACUGUUAAGUCAGCUGUGAAAGUCUGCGGCUCAACCGUGUAAUUGCAGUUGAUACUGUUGGUCUUGAGUAUAGAUGAGGUGGGCGGAAUUUGUGGUGUAGCGGUGAAAUGCUUAGAUAUCAAAAAGAACUCCGAUUGCGAAGGCAGCUCACUGGGGUAUAACUGACACUGAUGCACGAAGGUGUGGGUAUCAAACAGG
rnacentral:rRNA from 1 species